AACGAACGCUGGCGGCAUGCCUAACACAUGCAAGUCGAACGAGACCUUCGGGUCUAGUGGCGCACGGGUGCGUAACGCGUGGGAACCUGCCCUUAGGUUCGGAAUAACUCCCCGAAAGGGGUGCUAAUACCGGAUAAUGUCUUCGGACCAAAGAUUUAUCGCCUUUGGAUGGGCCCGCGUUGGAUUAGCUAGUUGGUAGGGUAAAAGCCUACCAAGGCGACGAUCCAUAGCUGGUCUGAGAGGAUGGUCAGCCACACUGGGACUGAGACACGGCCCAGACUCCUACGGGAGGCAGCAGUGGGGAAUAUUGGACAAUGGGCGAAAGCCUGAUCCAGCAAUGCCGCGUGAGUGAUGAAGGCCUUAGGGUUGUAAAGCUCUUUUACCCGGGAUGAUAAGGACAGUACCGGGAGAAUAAGCUCCGGCUAACUCCGU
rnacentral:rRNA from 1 species